rnacentral:lncRNA from 1 species
UACCGACAUUAUUAUUAUCAUUAAUCAACAGACCGUCACUGUCGGCUUUGCCUUUGAGUCUCAAGUAGCCAAGUGUCACUCAGCUCCACAUUUUCAAUGAACUCUGUUCUUCCCAGUGCACGACGGAUGCUCCAAAGUCAUAAGAUGUUUUUUCUUUAUAAAUCUUGAUAGAAAACGUCUCAGCCAACACUUAGGUCCAAACCAGGAAUCUCUGGGGUUAUCUUCCGGAAGAAGAAACCAGGGAGACGAUACAUUUUACAUAGACCGAUACGGCUUGGAAACCUACAUAAUUGAUACCGAGGGUCCAUAAACGCUUUGAACCAUCAAAGCGGAUCAGAGUUGUGGGGAAACGCGCCGAAGGAAGAAGAAACUUAAAGAAAAAUGGAACAUUUCUUCUGUUCCCAUUGAAAAGGCAUCUUGACAGGUUUGGGAAGGUGUUGUCAUUUACUGCAGAUUCUAAGAGGCGAGUUGAGUGUAACUUUUUGGUCCUGGGAGAUGUCAAGAAAAUAAGCUCAUCAGAGAAGAUAUUCAUCCGGUUCCCCGACCUUCAGACCCGAGUGGACUCCGGCUUCUCCACGUUGAGACCUCACCGCCGUCGUAUUGACAGGAUGAGGCCUUGUUUUCUCUGGCCCAGACAACUGAAAGCGGAUCCCGCCCUGAGGAGAAAGAUCCCCGAAAUGAAAUUGAGCGCGUGUGAGGUGAGAAUCGACGUUCCCUUGACCCCGUAGGAGAGGAAUCGGGCCGCCGCACAGAGUCCUCGGUGGAAGAGACGACCUCUGUUCUCGAAGAGCUUAGAAUCUAGUGGCAGAGAGACACACCGAGCCAUUUACAGGUGGGAGGAAGAGGCGAGAGGAAAGAUGAUAAUCUAGAUGAGCAAGUUCUUAAGAGUUAAGAAUGUCAGACGACGUGUCUGGGUGCAGAUACGACGCGGAAGUGCUGAGGUGAUACCUGGGAUAUGACCUGAGGAGAAGCCAAAUUAAUCAAGAAGAGCCUCUAUCGCUUGAACCGGCAUAAGGAUUUAUUUAUUUCCUCCUUCCUCCGGAGGCAAAUCUCUGAACGGUGAUAAGUAAACUGUUCAAUCCUCUUUAUCUGGAAAUAAUUACAGCGGCUGAGGGGUUUGAUUUUGGUAAACACUGUCGGAUCGCAAAAUAAAUGCCUCCUCGGCGUUAUCAAAGAGGGCUGUUAAAUGGUGCGCUCGCCGCCCGCGGUGUAGCCUAAACCAGGUCAGGGCAGGUCUGCAAAAUCCCAG